CCUGACACUUGCAAUUCACACCUUUCAAAAUGUAGCUCCGAUUCACUGUCCAAUAUGAUCCCUUUAAAGACCAUUUGUAACUUAUUUGUAACUUAUUUGUUGACAAAUUUAAGUCACUUCAGCACGAGCAUCCACACCAACACCUACUUCAAGUCCAAAUUCGUAGUUUACAGUAUAUAAUAUGCAAUAUAUGUGUCUUUGCACGGAUGCUGUUUCG